GACGAACGCUGGCGGCGUGCUUAACACAUGCAAGUCGAACGGGCCCGCCCCUGUUUUUGGGGGUGGGUUGAGUGGCGAACGGGUGAGUAUCACGUGAGUAACCUGCCCCCUGCUCCUGGAUAACUGCUUGAAAGGGCGGCUAAUACGGGGUGUGCCGGCUGGUCCGCAUGGGCCUGGUCGGGAUAGUUUCAUCUUCGGGUGUUUCGGUGGGGGAUGGGCUCGCGGCCUAUCAGCUUGUUGGUGGGGUGAUGGCCCACCAAGGCGGUGACGGGUAGCCGGCCUGGGAGGGUGGGCGGCCACACUGGGACUGAGACACGGCCCAGACUCCUGCGGGAGGCAGCAGUGGGGGGUAUUGCACAAUGGGCGGAAGCCUGAUGCAGCGACGUCGCGUGAGGGAUGGAGGCCUUCGGGUUGUGAACCUCUUUCUCCGGUGGUGAAGGCCCUGUCCGUUGCGGCGGGGUUGACGGUAGCCGGGUAUGAAGCGCCGGCUAACUACGU
rnacentral:rRNA from 1 species